rnacentral:siRNA from 1 species
GAUGACCGUGUCUCUAUAUCACA